AUAAUCCCAGGCUAUAGGAAGCAAUUGUCAUUGAAAUAUUUCAUAAAACCCAUUUCCGAAUUUUAGUGGACCAGAAGAAGCCAACAUGGAUACAUAUUAUUCGAUGAAGAAUAUGGAAGGAGAUAUGACCAAUAUAGAUACUUGCUUGAACAACCAACGAAGUUUAUCAGAGGAGGAAUAUGUGAUAAUAUUUGAAAUAAAAUCCCCAGGCUAUAAGAAAAAAUUUUAGAUGACAAAAGGAGAUAGUCUUUCUGCAUAGAUAUGUGAUGCAAGAAGAGGCAGUUCCAAAGUUGGGAAGAGAGUUACAGGACGAAAUUCUGGCAUUUAUUCGAUAGAUCAUACCUUUCUGAACGAGACUUGAGAACAGACGGGACACUUUCCGAUCAAAUCAGAUAUGGAUGAAGACAUAUACGUAAUGUUGGGAGAUGCAGAGAAUGACAAUUGUCACGAAGAGAAUGAUGAGUUAACAAAACUAACUAAUGACAUAAUGACUGACCUUGAAACCUGUGAUAACAUAUACAACGAGGAGAAGGAUCUUAAUUCAAAAUCGGAAAACAUCUAUGAAGAAACAGAGAAAACUGAGGGGAAUGAAAUACAUAAAAACAUUGAGAAACUUUUUUUUGAGAACUCUCAUCCAAAUAUAAACUCACAAGAUUCAAUCGAAUCACUCCAGUUAAAAAAUGAAAAAUUGUGGUUGAGGUACAAUUAGAAAAAGUGUAUUUAGAUGCUGAUAAAGAAAACCACUUUGGAGGAAAAGUGGAAGAAAGUGCACUUGAUACAUGUUCUAGACAAAAGAGAAAUAUUCUAAGAGAACUCCAUAAAAACCAAACCAGCCAUAAGGAUAUUUCGAAAAAUCAUGAGAUUCCAAAUCCUAUUGCCAAAAUA